AAGAAACGCUACUACAAUCUCUUUAGAAUUUCCUCUUCUACUCUAAGUGUUAGAUUUCUGUAAGAGAGGAGUGUGAGUGCUUGUAAGAGUUAUCUCCUAAACCCAGUAAAAGGAGAAGAGGGGUAUAAAAGGUGGUUGGCCUUCGCCUAUUGAAGGAAGGCCUCUAGUAGACGCCGGUGACCUUGUCGGAGGAGGAAGCCGAAAGUGGAG
rnacentral:lncRNA from 1 species